rnacentral:rRNA from 1 species
GAUGAACGCUGGCGGCGUGCCUAAUACAUGCAAGUCGAGCGAACAGACGAGGAGCUUGCUCCUCUGACGUUAGCGGCGGACGGGUGAGUAACACGUGGAUAACCUACCUAUAAGACUGGGAUAACUUCGGGAAACCGGAGCUAAUACCGGAUAAUAUAUUGAACCGCAUGGUUCAAUAGUGAAAGACGGUUUUGCUGUACCUUAUAGUUGGAUCCGCGCCGCAUUAGCUAGUUGGUAAGGUAACGGCUUACCAAGGCAACGAUGCGUAGCCGACCUGAGAGGGUGAUCGGCCACACUGGAACUGAGACACGGUCCAGACUCCUACGGGAGGCAGCAGUAGGGAAUCUUCCGCAAUGGGCGAAAGCCUGACGGAGCAACGCCGCGUGAGUGAUGAAGGUCUUCGGAUCGUAAAACUCUGUUAUUAGGGAAGAACAAAUGUGUAAGUAACUAUGCACGUCUUGACGGUACCUAAUCAGAAAGCCACGGCUAACUACGUG